rnacentral:rRNA from 1 species
GACAGAGGGUGCAAACGUUGUUCGGAAUUACUGGGCGUAAAGCGCGUGUAGGCGGCUUUGCAAGUCGGAUGUGAAAUCCCGCGGCUCAACCGUGGAAGUGCACCCGAAACUGCAUCGCUAGAGUAUCGGAGAGGAAAGUGGAAUGCUUGGUGUAGAGGUGAAAUUCGUAGAUAUCAAGCGGAACACCGGUGGCGAAGGCGGCCUGCUGGGGUGGAGCUGACGCUGAGGCGCGACAGCGUGGGGAGCAAACAGG